AGCCAGACUCCUACGGGAGGCAGCAGUGGGGAAUAUUGCACAAUGGGGGAAACCCUGAUGCAGCAACGCCGCGUGAGUGAAGAAGUAUUUCGGUAUGUAAAGCUCUAUCAGCAGGGAAGAAAAUGACGGUACCUGACUAAGAAGCCCCGGCUAACUACGUGCCAGCAGCCGCGGUAAUACGUAGGGGGCAAGCGUUAUCCGGAUUUACUGGGUGUAAAGGGAGCGUAGACGGCAUGGCAAGUCAGAUGUGAAAGCCCGGGGCUCAACCCCGGGACUGCAUUUGAAACUGUCAGGCUGGAGUGCAGGAGAGGUAAGUGGAAUUCCUAGUGUAGCGGUGAAAUGCGUAGAUAUUAGGAGGAACACCAGUGGCGAAGGCGGCUUACUGGACUGUAACUGACGUUGAGGCUCGAAAGCGUGGGGAGCAAACAGGAUUAGAUACCCUGGUAC
rnacentral:rRNA from 1 species